UCUAUGCUAAAAACGUUACUUUUACAAUCAGGAAAGGACACAUUUGUACAAGAAAGAAAAAACACAGUAAAAGACAAAUAACAGCGGAAAAUACUUGCAAUACACAUAAAAGACACACGGUUAUGUCCAUGACAUUUUGAGCUCAGACACAUCAAAAAUAAAAAGAGGAACAUCUUAACAUGAAAACAGGCAAAGGACACAAAGAGCCAGCUCGCAGAGCACAGCGAACCUCACAUAAACCACCCCCGCCUCACGCCGUCGAGAAACAGACACUCGAGGAGAUGCUAAGCGGGGCUGAGAGGACCAGGCGGGACGAGUGGUCGGCGGGCCAGUGUGGCUUCCUUGGUGGACCGGCACCUCUAUGUCUAGGACUUAGGGCCCGCCAAUCCACCCGCCAGCACCAGACCCAAGAGACGCGGGCUGCAGCACGUCCGCGCCGACGGGAGGCCAUCGCCCAGCACCCUGCAGCACCGCGUCCCGUGUGGGGCCAGGACGGACACGGGGGACAGCGCUUGCCUGGUGCCGGGGGAAAGGCCAAGUUAGGAAGGAGCAGGUAGGGAACAAGGGUCUGUCCUGAGGAGGAGGAUGCGGCCUGGGCUCUCUGCGGCGGGGCACGGGGUCGGGUGGGGGGCCCCUGACCAGACUGCUUUAGAAAUCACAAGGCAGAAGCUUCUCAAGAGACGGAGGCCGGCUGACUACGGCUGCGCUCUGUGCGACACUGGACUCGUGCCCAGCCAGCCCCAGGAGAGCGGCCAGCCAGGGCCGGAGGGCUGGGAACCCGCUCCGCCAAGGGCUGGCGGGGCGGCCCCGGGAGGGCCCCCCUUCUCAUCCCGCGGGGAGCGGCCGUUCCCACACCUCCCUGGGGCCAGGGGCGGGGAGGGGGCAAGGACCUGCGGCUGCACAGCUCUCGCCCCCGGCCCUUGGGGCCCGGGCGCCCCCCUAGCUGUGCCCAGCAUUCCUGGGGGCUCUGAAACCCUGCCACUUCCUGAAGGAGCCCUGAGUGGCUCCAGAGCAGACGCACCUAUGCCAGCUCCUGCCUCCAGCGGCGGCCACAGCUCAGCCCUGGACCCCGCUUCUCACGUCAGAGCUCCCGUGCCAGGUCCCCAGCACCUGAGGGCGGGGUCCCAACAGUUGCUAAACCUCCCCAGGCCUGGCUUCGAGGAAGGGGCGACAAGGACACCCACCCACGGUUCCUCGCGGGGUGGGAGGGAGCGAGGCAGCCCCUACCCGGACCCCGGGUGCUGGGAGGUUUCAGGGCCUGGGGAGGAUCCACCUGGACCCGAGGAACCAUCUCCACGCUGGGGAGGGGCAGGCGGGGGCUCCACUGACAGUCCCGGGCUGGCCGCUGGGAUGGGUCCUGCCACGUCAGGGCUGCUGAGGGCCCCACAAAAGCUAAAGCCUGGAGCAUGGCCUGGGGGGUCCUCCAGCCAAGGAACACAUGGCCUUCGCGACCCCAGCCCCCCGGUCAGGAGCCAAGCACCGGCCUGAGCAGACCGCCGGAGCCGGUGUCCCUAAGACGGGGCCGGGGGGUGGGGGAGGCGCCGGCUCAGAGCCCCAGCAAGGGGGAGCCCUGCAGGCCCGAGGCGGCGGGCCUCCAGGGAGGGCGACGUCCAGGGCCGGCAGGGUCACCAGGCCAGGUGCUUCCUUCCCUCCUUGGACGGCGCACGGCCCUUCCUGCGGCCAGCAGCCAAGAGCUUCCGGCAUCAGCAUCAGGCAGCCACAGGUACAGCCGUGACCGAGGUCCCCAACAGGGCUGACCACACCUGCUUACAUCAGCCAGCCGGGCACAGAGGCCCCGGCGCAGGAUGGGGGUUCAUGGAGACCUGGGCUGCCCGCCCGCCCCACCUCUGUGUCUCAAAGGCCCUGUGGGCCUCAGCCUAAGGGCAAGCUCUGGGAGGAGAAGGCUGGGUCCAAGGCCAGGGUCCAAAGCCAGCUCUUGCCACCUGCCCAGUGUCAACGCCCGCAGUGUGCACGGAGGGGCUGCCUCCCAGCUGCCACCCCGGGGAGCCUGCCCAAGCUCCGGGGCCCCUGCACCUGCGCCGCCACCAUGGUCUCUCCGGAGCCCCUAGACGCACGGGAGCAGGCCAGGAAGUGCGGCUCCUCCAGAGGACACGGCGUCCCGG
rnacentral:lncRNA from 1 species